rnacentral:tRNA from 1 species
GCGCGAUUAGCUCAGAAGGUAAGAGCAUAGGACUCUUCAUUCUAGGGUCGUUGGUUCGAAUCCAACAUCGCGAGACA